AUAAACGCUGGCGGCGUGCUUAACACAUGCAAGUCGAACGAAGUUUUUCCUUCGGGAGAAACUUAGUGGCGGACGGGUGAGUAACGCGUGGGUAACCUGCCCUGUACAGGGGGACAACAGCUGGAAACGGCUGCUAAUACCGCAUAAGCACUUAGCACUGCAUGGUGCAUAGGGAAAAGGAGCAAUCCGGUACAGGAUGGACCCGCGUCUGAUUAGCCAGUUGGCAGGGUAACGGCCUACCAAAGCGACGAUCAGUAGCCGAUCUGAGAGGAUGUACGGCCACAUUGGGACUGAGACACGGCCCAGACUCCUACGGGAGGAAGCAGUGGGGAAUAUUGCACAAUGGAGGAAACUCUGAUGCAGCGACGCCGCGUGAGUGAAGAAGUAUUUCGGUAUGUAAAGCUCUAUCAGCAGGGAAGAAAAUGACGGUACCUGACUAAGAAGCACCGGCUAAAUACGUG
rnacentral:rRNA from 1 species